rnacentral:piRNA from 1 species
UGGCCUUCCCCUUUGGACUCCUGCCUGUU